rnacentral:rRNA from 1 species
UACGGAGGGUGCAAGCGUUAAUCGGAAUUACUGGGCGUAAAGCGCACGCAGGCGGCUUUUUAAGUCGGAUGUGAAAGCCCCGGGCUCAACCUGGGAAUUGCAUCUGAUACUGGGAAGCUAGAGUACGUGAGAGGGGGGCAGAAUUCCAAGUGUAGCGGUGAAAUGCGUAGAGAUUUGGAGGAAUACCAGUGGCGAAGGCGGCCCCCUGGCACGAUACUGACGCUCAGGUGCGAAAGCGUGGGGAGCAAACAGG